UAAGAAAGGGCUACCCAGCUCUACAGCAUG
rnacentral:piRNA from 1 species